GAUGAAGAACGCAGCAAAAUGCGAUAAGUAAUGUGAAUUGCAGAAUUCAGUGAAUCAUCGAAUCUUUGAACGCACAUUGCGCCCGCCAGCAUUCUGGCGGGCAUGCCUGUUCGAGCGUCAUUUCAACCCUCGAGCCCCCCCGGGGGCCUCGGUGUUGGGGGACGGCACACCAGCCGCCCCCGAAAUGCAGUGGCGACCCCGCCGCAGCCUCCCCUGCGUAGUAGCACACACCUCGCACCGGAGCGCGGAGGCGGUCACGCCGUAAAACGCCCAACUUUCUUAGAGUUGACCUCGGAUCAGGUAGGAAUACCCGCUGAACUUAAGCAUAUCAAUAAGCGGAGGA
rnacentral:misc_RNA from 1 species